GAAAGACCCCGUGGAGCUUUACUGUAGCCUGAUAUUGAAAUUCGGUACAGUUUGUACAGGAUAGGUAGGAGCCUUAGAAGCGUGAGCGCUAGCUUACGUGGAGGCAUUGGUGGGAUACUACCCUAAUUGUAUUGGAUUUCUAACCCGCAGCACUUAUCGUGCUGGGAGACAGUGUCAGGCGGGCAGUUUGACUGGGGCGGUCGCCUCCUAAAGAGUAACGGAGGCGCUCAAAGGUUCCCUCAGAAUGGUUGGAAAUCAUUCAUAGAGUGUAAAGGCAUAAGGGAGCUUGACUGCGAGACCUACAAGUCGAGCAGGGUCGAAAGACGGACUUAGUGAUCCGGUGGUUCCGCAUGGAAGGGCCAUCGCUCAACGGAUAAAAGCUACCCCGGGGAUAACAGGCUUAUCUCCCCCAAGAGUUCACAUCGACGGGGAGGUUUGGCACCUCGAUGUCGGCUCAUCGCAUCCUGGGGCUGUAGUCGGUCCCAAGGGUUGGGCUGUUCGCCCAUUAAAGCGGUACGCGAGCUGGGUUCAGAACGUCGUGAGACAGUUCGGUCCCUAUCCGUCGUGGGCGUAGGAAAUUUGAGAGGAGCUGUCCUUAGUACGAGAGGACCGGGAUGGACAUACCUCUGGUGUACCAGUUGUCGUGCCAACGGCAUAGCUGGGUAGCUAUGUAUGGACGGGAUAAGUGCUGAAAGCAUCUAAGCAUGAAGCCCCCCUCGAGAUGAGAUUUCCCAACUUCGGUUAUAAGAUCCCUCAAAGAUGAUGAGGUGAAUAGGUUCGAGGUGGAAGCGUAGCGAUACGUGGAGCUGACGAAUACUAAUCGAUCGAAGACUUAAUCAA
rnacentral:rRNA from 1 species